rnacentral:rRNA from 1 species
GACGAACGCUGGCGGCGUGCCUAACACAUGCAAGUCGAGCGGGGUCCAUCCAGUGCUUGCACUGGGGAAGACCUAGCGGCGAACGGGUGAGUAUCACGUGAGGAACCUGCCCCGAAGUCUGGGAUAACCCGAGGAAACUCGAGCUAAUACCGGAUGCCCUCAGUUGAUCGCAUGGUCGACUGAGGAAAGAUUUAUCGCUUCGGGAGGGCCUCGCGGCCUAUCAGUUUGUUGGUGGGGUAACGGCCUACCAAGACAUCGACGGGUAGCUGGUCUGAGAGGACGAUCAGCCACACUGGGACUGAGACACGGCCCAGACUCCUACGGGAGGCAGCAGUGGGGAAUAUUGCGCAAUGGGGGAAACCCUGACGCAGCAACGCCGCGUGCGGGAUGAAGGCCUUCGGGUUGUAAACCGCUUUCAGUAGGGACGAUUGUGACGGUACCUACAGAAGAAGCCCCGGCCAACUACGUGCCAGCCGCCGCCGUAAGAC